AGUUCUGGAUAAAGCUUAUUAUGAAAACUUUAUAUCCAUAGGUCUCGACCAAAUCUUGUGCCAGCAGUCGCGGUAAGACAAGGGAGACGAGUGUUAUUCAUCUUUAACAGGUAUAUAGGGUACCUAGACGGUGUGCAAUGGCUUAAAUAAGUACCUGGUACACUUGAGUUUGAUAUGUGAGAGGAAUAUGUCGGAAUUGUUGGAGGAAAGAUGAAAUUUGUUAAUACCAAUAGGACUGAUAACGGCGAAGGCAAACCUCUAUGUACAUGUACUUGCUAUUUCUGUUUUUAUUAGAGCAAAAUAGCAAUGUACUAUAACUGACGUUGAGGGACGAAGGCUCAGAGAGUGAAGAGGAUUAGAUACCCCCGUAACCUGGGCAGACAAUGAUGAGUGCCAUAGGUUGGCUUUAAGGCGGAACUAUAAAUGAAGG
rnacentral:rRNA from 1 species